rnacentral:rRNA from 1 species
AUGGAAGAACAAAGGGGAGUCCUCCUCGCUGCGGAACAACAAAGCUCCACCGUCCGUCUCCUAGACGAAGACCCUCAAGUGAAGUUGCAAAUAGUCAGUGGCUUGGAGAACCCAGACUGGACACAAGAUACCUUCCGCAGACCUGAAAAGUUGUGCCUUAGAAGGAAGUUUGAGUGUGCAGUGAAAGUGAUAACUAAUGCAUUAUCAAAAUUCAGUGAUGACAUAAUAAAAGUGCACAAAGUUGUGUCCAUCAUCUAA